GCCUUGGGGCCGGGGGGUCUGCUGCGGUAGUUUGCAACGUCGACGACAGCACAGGAGAGCUUGCUCUCUGGGUGGCGAGUGGCGUAUGGAGUGAGGAAUACAUCGGAAUCUACCUUUUCGUGGGGGAUAACGUAGGGAAACUUACGCUAAUACCGCAUACGACCUUCGGGUGAAAGCAGGGGACCUUCGGGCCUUGCGCGGAUAGAUGAGCCGAUGUCGGAUUAGCUAGUUGGCGGGGUAAAGGCCCACCAAGGCGACGAUCCGUAGCUGGUCUGAGAGGAUGAUCAGCCACACUGGAACUGAGACACGGUCCAGACUCCUACGGGAGGCAGCAGUGGGGAAUAUUGGACAAUGGGCGCAAGCCUGAUCCAGCCAUACCGCGGGGGUGAAGAAGGCCUUCGGGUUGUAAAGCCCUUUUGUUGGAAAAGAAAAGCAGUCGGUUAAUACCCGGUUGGUUCUGACGGUACCCAAAGAAUAAGCACCGGCUAACUUUCGGGCCAGCAGCCGCGUUAAUAGGGAAGGGGGCAAGCGUUACUCGGAAUUACUGGGGCGUAAAGGCGGGCGUGGGUGGUUGUUUAGGGUCUGGUUGGAACGCCCCGGGCGCUCACCCCUGGGGGAUUUGCAGGGAGACACCUGGGCCGAACUAGAAGUGUGGUUAAAAGGAAGGUGAAAUUUCUCUGGG
rnacentral:rRNA from 1 species